CUACGGGAGGCAGCAGUGGGGAAUUUUGGACAAUGGGGGCAACCCUGAUCCAGCCAUACCGCGUGAGUGAAGAAGGCCUUCGGGUUGUAAAGCUCUUUCGGACAGAAAGAAAUCGUGCAGAUUAAUACUCUGUAUGGAUGACGGUACUGUAAGAAGAAGCACCGGCUAACUACGUGCCAGCAGCCGCGGUAAUACGUAGGGUGCGAGCGUUAAUCGGAAUUACUGGGCGUAAAGCGUGCGCAGGCGGUUUUGUAAGACAGACGUGAAAUCCCCGGGCUUAACCUGGGAACUGCGUUUGUGACUGCAAGGCUAGAGUGCGGCAGAGGGGGGUAGAAUUCCACGUGUAGCAGUGAAAUGCGUAGAGAUGUGGAGGAAUACCGAUGGCGAAGGCAGCCCCCUGGGUCGACACUGACGCUCAUGCACGAAAGCGUGGGGAGCAAACAGGAUUAGAUACCCUGGUAGG
rnacentral:rRNA from 1 species